UCAAAACUUUCAACAACGGAUCUCUUGGCUCUGGCAUCGAUGAAGAACGCAGCGAAAUGCGAUAAGUAAUGUGAAUUGCAGAAUUCAGUGAAUCAUCGAAUCUUUGAACGCACAUUGCGCCCGCCAGUAUUCUGGCGGGCAUGCCUGUUCGAGCGUCAUUUCAACCCUCAAGCCCCAGUCGGCUUGGUGUUGGGGACCGGCCCCGGCCGCCCCCCAAAUGCAGUGGCGACCUCGCCGCAGCCUCCCCUGCGUAGUAGCACAACCUCGCACCGGAGCGCGGAGACGGUCACGCCGUAAAACGCCCAACUUCUCUAGAGUUGACCUCGGAUCAGGUAGGAAUACCCGCUGAACUUAA
rnacentral:sRNA from 1 species